rnacentral:rRNA from 1 species
AGAAGCUACUAAGAGCUUACGGUGAAUGCCUUGGCGUCAAAUGCCGAUGAAGGACGUGGGACACUGCGAUAAGCCUCGGGGAGCUGUGAACAAGCGAUAUAUCCGGGGAUGUCCGAAUAGGGAAACCUGCUGGUGCGAACCACCAGCAUCAUACGUUGAAUAUAUAGACGUAUAGAAGGGAACCAUGGGAACUGAAACAUCUAAGUACCAUGAGGAAAAGAGAUUAUUCUCCAAGUAGUGGCGAGCGAACGGGGAACAGCCUAAACCGAUCCAGUUUACUGGACCGGGGUUGUAGGAUCCGGCGACUAAGAGUGACAAAUUGAGACGAUAGCAGAAUUGGUAUGGAAAAGCCAACCAUAGAAGGUGAUAGUCCUGUACGCGAAAUCGUCGAAACUCUCGCUGGACACCUGAGUACAACCGGGCACGCUAAUCCGGUUGGAAUCUGGGGAGUCCACUCUCCAAGGCUAAAUACGUUUGACGACCGAUAGUGAACAAGUACCGUGAGGGAAAGGUGAAAAGUACCCCUGUUAGGGGAGUGAAAAGAACCUGAAACCGUAAGCUUACAAACAGUCGAAGGGCUAAUGGCGUGUUCGUGCUAUAGCGAAAGCUUGUGCGCAGCGCUAUGCCUGACGGCGUGCCUUUUGGAGAAUGAGUCUGCGAGUUAAUCUUUGUGGCAAGGUUAAGGAAGUUACAUCCGAAGCCGCAGCGAAAGCGAGUCUGAAUAGGGCGUGCAGUCGCAAGGAUUAGACACGAAACCAGGUGAGCUAACCAUGGCCAGGUUGAAGCGAGUAUAACAGCUCGUGGAGGACCGAACCUACUAAUAUUGCAAAAUUAGGGGAUGAGCUGUGGUUAGGGGUGAUAUGCCAAACGAACUUGGAGAUAGCUUGUUCUCCCCGAAAUAGCUUUAGGGCUAGCGUUAAGCGUUUAGUAACGGAGGUAGAGCACUGAAUGGGCUAGGGGGCUUAUAGCUUACCAAACCUAAUCAAACUCCGAAUGCCGUUACUCCAAGCUUAGCAGUCGGACUCCGGGAGAUGAGUUUCGGGGUCGAGAGGGAAACAGCCCAGAUCAACAGCUAAGGUCCCCAAAUUUGUACUAAGUGGGAAACGAUGUGAAGUUACUGAAACAACCAGGAGGUUUGCCUAGAAGCAGCCACCCUUUAAAAAGUGCGUAACAGCUUACUGGUCGAGUGAUUUUGCGCGGAAAAUUCAACGGGGCUAAGUACAAUACCGAAGCUUUGAACUCUCGCUUUAGCGAGAUUGGUAGGGGAGCGUUCUGCCAGCGAUGAAGGUCGACCGAAAGGACGGCUGGAGUGGGCAGAAGUGAGAAUGCAGACAUAAGUAGCGUAAAACACGUGAGAACCGUGUUCGCCGUAUAUCUAAGGUUUCCGACGCCAGGUCAAUCCGCGUCGGGUUAGUCAGGACCUUAGCCGAGGCCGAGAGGCGUAGGCGAUGGACAGCCGGUCAACAUUCCGGCACCACUUAAGUAGAGUGAUGGAGGGACGCAACGAGGUAGGCCAGCCCAUGAUUGGUUGUGUGGGUGUAUGGUAUGUCAGCCUGUGAGAUCUAUAGGAAAAUCCGUAGGUUGAGGUGAGAUACUGUAGCGAGCCUAUAAGGCAUAAGUGAGUUGAGCCUUGUUGCCAAGAAAAGCUUCUAAACGAUGAAACUUGAGUGCCUGUACCGCAAACCGACUCUGGUAGAUGGGUAGAAUAUACCAAGGCGAACGGGAGAACCCUUGUUAAGGAACUAGGCAAUUUAGCCACGUAACUUCGGGAUAAGUGGUGCCCUUCGACGUGAAUGAAUAAUGAGCGUUGGGGGGUCGCAGUGAAAUGGUUCUAGGGACUGGUUACCAAAACCACAGGUCUCUGCAAAGUCGUAAGACGAUGUAUAGGGGCUGACACCUGCCCAGUGCCGGAAGGUUAAAGGGAGGGGUUAGGCGCAAGCCGAAGCUCUGAACUGAAGCCCCGGUGAACGGCGGCCGUAACUAUAACGGUCCUAAGGUAGCGAAAUUCCUUGUCGGGUAAGUUCCGACCCGCACGAAUGGCGUAAUGACUUGGGCACUGUCUCAACAAGGGACUCGGUGAAAUUGUAGUACCGGUGAAG